UACGGGGGGGGCAAGCGUUGUUCGGAAUUACUGGGCGUAAAGGGCUCGUAGGUGGCCAACUCAGUCAGACGUGAAAUCCCUCGGCUUAACCGGGGAACUGCGUCUGAUACUGGAUGGCUUGAGGUUGGGAGAGGGAUGCGGAAUUCCAGGUGUAGCGGUGAAAUGCGUAGAUAUCUGGAGGAACACCGGUGGCGAAGGCGGCAUCCUGGACCAAUUCUGACACUGAGGCGCGAAAGCCAGGGGAGCAAACGGG
rnacentral:rRNA from 1 species